AGUGAACGCUGGCGGUAGGCCUAACACAUGCAAGUCGAACGGCAGCACAGUAAGAGCUUGCUCUUACGGGUGGCGAGUGGCGGACGGGUGAGGAAUACAUCGAAAUCUACUUUUUCGUGGGGGAUAACGUAGGGAAACUUACGCUAAUACCGCAUACGACCUACGGGUGAAAGCAGGGGAUCUUCGGACCUUGCGCGAUUGAAUGAGCCGAUGUCGGAUUAGCUAGUUGGCGGGGUAAAGGCCCACCAAGGCGACGAUCCGUAGCUGGUCUGAGAGGAUGAUCAGCCACACUGGAACUGAGACACGGUCCAGACUCCUACGGGAGGCAGCAGUGGGGAAUAUUGGACAAGGGGCGCAAGCCUGAUCCAGCCAUACCGCGUGGGUGAAGAAGGCCUUCGGGUUGUAAAGCCCUUUUGUUGGGAAAGAAAGGCAGCAGGUUAAUACCCCGCUGUUCUGACGGUACCCAAAGAAUAAGCACCGGCUAACUUCGUG
rnacentral:rRNA from 1 species